rnacentral:rRNA from 1 species
AUUGAACGCUGGCGGCAGGCCUAACACAUGCAAGUCGAGCGAGCGGCGGACGGGUGCGUAAUGUAUGGGGACUGCCCGAUAGAGGGGGAUAACUACUGGAAAAGGUGGCUAAUACCGCAUACUAUCGGAUAACCCAUAUGGGAUUAGCUAGUAGGUGAGGUAAUGGCUCACCGAGGCGACGAUCCCUAGCUGGUGUGAGAGGAUGAUGCGCAACACUGGGACUGGGACACGGCCCAGCCUCCUACGGAGGAGGCAGUGGGGAAUAUUGCACAAUGGGCGCACGCCUGAUGCAGCCAUGCCUCGUGUAUGAAGAAGGCCCUAGGGUUGUAAAGUACUUUCAGUCGGGAGGCGUUACCGACAGAAGAAGCACCGGCUAACUCCGUGCCAGCAGCCGCGGUAAUUC